UACGUAGGGGGCGAGCGUUGUUCGGAUUUACUGGGCGUAAAGAGCGCGUAGGUGGUCCGAUAAGUCGGAGGUGAAAUCCCUCGGCUCAACCGAGGACCCGCGUCCGAUACUGUUGGACUUGAGUGCAGGAGAGGAGAGCGGAAUUCCCAGUGUAGCGGUGAAAUGCGUAGAUAUUGGGAGGAACACCGGUGGCGAAGGCGGCUCUCUGGACUGCUACUGACACUGAGGCGCGAAAGCUAGGGGAGCAAACGGG
rnacentral:rRNA from 1 species